rnacentral:rRNA from 1 species
AUUGAACGCUGGCGGCAGGCCUAACACAUGCAAGUCGAACGGUAACAGGAAACAGCUUGCUGUUUCGCUGACGAGUGGCGGACGGGUGAGUAAUGUCUGGGAAACUGCCUGAUGGAGGGGGAUAACUACUGGAAGCGGUAGCUAAUACCGCAUAACGUCGCAAGACCAAAGAGGGGGACCUUCGGGCCUCUUGCCAUCGGAUGUGCCCAGAUGGGAUUAGCUAGUAGGUGGGGUAACGGCUCACCUAGGCGACGAUCCCUAGCUGGUCUGAGAGGAUGACCAGCCACACUGGAACUGAGACACGGUCCAGACUCCUACGGGAGGCAGCAGUGGGGAAUAUUGCACAAAGGGCGCAAGCCUGAUGCAGCCAUGCCGCGUGUAUGAAGAAGGCCUUCGGGUUGUAAAGUACUUUCAGCGGGGAUGAAGGGAGUAAAGUUAAUACCUUUGCUCAUUGACGUUACCCGCAGAAGAAGCACCGGCUAACUCCGUG